CGCCUCGGACGAACACCACUGGGGGUAGAGCACUGUUUCGGCUAGGGGGUCAUACCGACUUACCAAACCGAUGCAAACUCCGAAUACCGAUGAGUGAUAUCCGGGAGACACACGGUGGGUGCUAACGUCCAUCGUGGAGAGGGAAACAACCCAGACCGCCAGCUAAGGCCCCAAAUUCCUAGUUAAGUGGGAAACGAGGUGGGAAGGCAUAGACAGCUAGGAGGUUGGCUUAGAAGCAGCCAUCCUUUAAAGAAAGCGUAAUAGCUCACUAGUCGAGUCGGCCCGCGCGGAAGAUGUAACGGGGCUCAAACUAGGAGCCGAAGCUGCGGAUUUGAAUUUGUUUUCAAGUGGUAGGGGAGCGUUGUGUAAGCCUGUGAAGGUGUGUUGUAAAGCAUGCUGGAGGUAUCACAAGAGCGAAUGCUGACGUGAGUAACGAUAAUGCGAGUGAAAAGCUCGCACGCCGGAAGAUCAAGGGUUCCAGUCCAACGUUAAUCGGGGCUGGGUGAGUCGACCCCUAAGGCGAGGCCGAAAGGCGUAGUCGAUGGGAAAUCGGUUAAUAUUCCGAUACUUGUUUAUAAUGCGAUGGAGGGACGGAGAAGGUUAUGUCAGCCUGGCGUUGGUUGUCCAGGUGAAAGGAUGUAGGUUUAUAGCUUAGGUAAAUCCGGGCUAUUUUAUACCGAGAUCUGAUAGCAAGCUGUACUUGUACAGCGAAGUGGCAAAUACCAUGCUUCCAGGAAAAGCUUCUAAGCAAUAGUUAUAAACGAAUCGUACCCUAAACCGACACAGGUGAUCAGGUAGAGAAUACCAAGGCGCUUGAGAGAACUCGGCUGAAGGAACUAGGCAAAAUGGUACCGUAACUUCGGGAGAAGGUACGCUGUUGAUGGUGAUAGGACUUGCUCCUUGAGCUGUUGGCAGUCGCAGAUACCAGGCUGCUGCAACUGUUUAUUAAAAACACAGCACUCUGCAAACACGAAAGUGGACGUAUAGGGUGUGAUGUCUGCCCGGUGCUGGAAGGUUAAUUGAUGGGGUUAGCGUAAGCGAAGCUCUUGAUCGAAGCCCCAGUAAACGGCGGCCGUAACUAUAACGGUCCUAAGGUAGCGAAAUUCCUUGUCGGGU
rnacentral:rRNA from 1 species